rnacentral:lncRNA from 1 species
UCUCCAGUUUCAAAUUUGUGUAAACAUUGCUCCUCAUUUAUUCUCUGACUUGUCAAUUGAGCUGAUUAGCCAAUAGCUGAGCAGAAGAGAGAAUAGGGUUGGACUUCUCCCAGCCAGGGGAGGAGGGAGAGAGAAACACACAGAGACACAUAGACAGAGACACAGAGAGAGAAGAUGGACGAGGAAGGAGAGGAGGAGGAGGAGGAGGAGGAGAAGAGAAGCAAGCCAUGAGGAGAGAGUGUGAGAAGCAGCUUGGGAAAAAACAUCUGAAGCAGAGAGAGCUAGAAUAAUACUAAACUCCACCUGGUCACCGUCUGGGUUGAGAGCCACCGAGAGUGCAGGAGAAAGAGGAAGAGAGCCCAGGCAACCCCUGGGCCGGCCAAGAAAUCCUGACCAUAACUGAGCCUAGGAUGCAAGAAAA